CUUCAAACUCUUCAAAGUUGGGAUGGUAGUUUGUUGGUGUAGACUAUGGUUAUUUGGAACGGGAUGAGCGUUUGGUUUUUGGGUGGGGAAUGGGAUGAGGGCUCAGUUUUUGAAGGAUUUCUGGUUAGGGGAGUGUAAGCUGCAAGAUCAGUUCCCGAAUUUGGCCUGCAAGGUGGUGGAUUUGGAUAUCACCGUGAAUGGAUGUUUUGUGCUUGAAGGGUCCCAAGGGAUGUGGCUUCCUCCAUUUUGCAGAAAUCUACGGAUGUUGAAGCUGAAGAGUUUCUUUCAUUGCUAUAUCUUGUCAGACAGAUUUGCUAGGCUUCAACGGAUUCAAUGCUCAUUGGGCCCAUGACCAGCCUUAUUCAUUGUGCCUGGUGGUAGUCCUUCCUUGGCCACCGCGAUGUUUUCUACACAAGGGCAAUGAGAGGAAUUUCAGCCUCAAGCGCACCAGUUUGAUCUACUCCCAGGAUUCAGGUCUAAGCAUAGUUGUCCAAGCGACCACAUUGCAUCAUUUGAUAACAUCUCCAGUGAAAGAGAAGGCCUGAGCAAGGAUGAUAACAUUCGCAGCAUAAAAAGAAAAAAAAAACUAAGAUAAAUGAGUGUCACCUUUUCUUUUCUUCUCUCUCUCUGCUUUUUUUUGUCUUGCUGACGAAAAAGAUUUGCUCUAUGGCUACGGGUUAUCGGUAGCCAUGAGUUCUAUAGCAACCGAUUUAAUUCGUA